GUGAGUGUUUUCUGUCCUGUCUCCCUGGAAGGUGACUCCAGGUGGCCUGGCUUUGGUCUCACUCGCUGCUCUGUCCUAGUGCUUCCUCAGGCCUGAGGGGGGUGUUCUCCUCCACGGAGCCUCCCACCAGCUCCCCUCCUGCGGACCCUCUCCCCCUCCAUCCCCUAGUUAAGCCCCUUCACCUUCGGGAGAUACUUUGUCCUUGUUUCCCUGAAAUUGAGGGGUUGAGCCCGGGUGCUCUACCCCGAGCUACCUCCCCAGCCCUUAUUAUUCUUUACUUUGAGACAAGGUCUUGCUAAGUUGCUGAGGCUGGCCUCAAACUUACGAUCCUCCUUCCUCAGCCUCCUAAGUCAUUGGGGUUACAGGCGUGCACCCCCGGGCCCAGUGGCGGAUUGCAUUUUUCAAAGAUGAUCACAACAACCUCCCUCGCUCGUCCUCUAGGUCCUUCGUAAC
rnacentral:lncRNA from 1 species